UGCAGGCCCCAGAGCAGACUUAACCUAUGUCUUAAUCCCCCGAUGUCCUUUUAAGAAGACGCAAGUUAACCAAGGACAAUUGGGAGGAACAUCAGAUGAAGUGACAGUAGAUGCAGCCACUGAAAGGCCAAGGGUCGCUUGGAAAGGUGGAACCUCAACUGGGGAGUUGCCUAUGUCCGGUCAGCCUGUGGGCAUGUCUUGAUUACCAGCUGAUGCAGGAGGUCCCAGUCCACUGUGUGGUACCAUUCUUGGAAAGGUAGUUGAAGGUGAUCCUGGGAACAAGCCAGUGAGCAGCACUCCUCCAUGGCCCCUGCUUUAGUUCCUGUCUCCAUGGUCCUUCCCUGAGCGCCUGCCUGCCUCGAUGUCCCUCCAUGAUGAACACAUGUAACUUAUAAGGUGAAAUAAACCAUUCCCUCCUCGA